rnacentral:rRNA from 1 species
UGGGGAAUAUUGCACAAUGGACGGAAGUCUGAUGCAGCAACGCCGCGUGCGGGAUGACGGCCUUCGGGUUGUAAACCGCUUUUUCUCAUGACGAAGUUUUUUGACGGUAGUGGGGGAAGAAGCACCGGCUAACUACGUGCCAGCAGCCGCGGUGAUACGUAGGGUGCGAGCGUUGUCCGGAAUUAUUGGGCGUAAAGAGCUUGUAGGCGGUUUGUCGCGUCGAUAGUGCAAACUCAGUGCUUAACGCUGAGACUGCUGUUGAUACGGGCAGACUAGAGGAAGGUAGGGGAGAAUGGAAUUCCCGGUGGAGCGGUGGAAUGCGCAGAUAUCGGGAGGAACACCGGUGGCGAAGGCGGUUCUCUGGGCCUUUCCUGACGCUGAGAAGCGAAAGCGUGGGGAGCGAACAGG